GUUUUAAAAAGGCUAAAUUACAUAAAACCCCUCUGUAAUAACCCGCUUUUUCACUUUCCCCCGAUGACAUUUAAAAACCUACACUUUGCCCCCCUGUAAAAUGAAAAAUGUUCACAAGGAGGUUACGGUGUGUAAAAUGACCAUUUUGCCCCUCGCCAUUGUCGUCUUCUUCCCUAUCUUUCUCAGCCGCCCCUUCGUUCGGCCGCGAUUCCCACCUCAAUCGGCCGUGAUUUCUCUCCAUUUCUUCUCCACCUGCUCCCCUUCUCCUCCUGCACCCUUGCCGCCCUCGAUUUCGGCGACAGUAGGAGAAAACCGAGGUGGGCGACAGUAGGAGAAGGGCAAAGAAGGCGAAGGCGAGGCGGCGGAGGACGGCGAAGGGGAUGUGGGUGAGGCCGAGGCAGUGGAGGACGGCGAGGCGGCUAGGCAGCGAGGCGGCGGCGAGGUGGCGAGCCGGAGGGAGGCGAAGCAACAGGGAGAUGGCGGAGGGGUAUUGUCGGCAUAAAAAUAUAUUUUUUAACGGAA
rnacentral:lncRNA from 1 species